rnacentral:rRNA from 1 species
AGCGAACGCUGGCGGCAGGCCUAACACAUGCAAGUCGAACGAACCUUUCGGGGUUAGUGGCGGACGGGUUAGUAACACGUCGGAACGUGCCUUUAGGUUCGGAAUAACUCAGGGAAACUUGUGCUAAUACCGAAUGUGCCCUUCGGGGGAAAGAUUAAUCGCCGUUAGAGCGGCCCGCGUCUGAUUAGCUAGUUGGUUGAGGUAAUGGCUCACCAGGGCGACGAUCAGUAGCUGGUCUGAGAGGAUGAUCAGCCACAUUGGGACGGAGACACGGCCCAAACUCCUACGGGAGGCAGCAGUGGGGAAUCUUGCGCAAUGGGCGAAAGCCUGACGCAGCUAUGCCGCGUGAAUGAUGAAGGUCUUAGGAUUGUAAAAUUCUUUCACCGGGGACGAUAAUGACGGUACCCGGAGAAGAAGCCCCGGCUAACUUCGUG